CCUACCAGCCUCCUCUGUCCAUGGGAUUUUCCAGGCAAGAGUACUGGAGUGGGGUACCAUUGCCUUCUCUGGAUUCCAUCUCAGAUACUGACAAAAACUUUCUGUAGUAGGGGAAAACUUUGAAUUCUGUUACAAGUUAAUCACUAAAGGGAUGUUGCCUAUAAGCUUUAAUUCGACAUAAUGGCCCAUCUCUGAGAACCCUGCAGCCCAGGUAAUGAUCAUUAAGCCAAAAAGACCUUGGAUUAGCUCCCACGAGAGAGCCAGAUGAGGUUCACCUGUGACUGACUGCAGAGAGGAAGAAAUUCACCGGUCCCCUCCAGAGGCUGAGGUGAACCAGGAAGUGUUUGACUUAUUUCCGUCCUCCCUACCCCGCCUCCCUGCCCCUCCCUCCUUAAUAUAAAAGAAGCCAGAAUUCUAACUCAGGCAAGCUGGCUCCCCGAGGGGGUGGCAGUCUGUUAUAUUUUGGGUCUGCUGGCUUUCUCAAUAAAGUCCUUACUCCUUGCCCACCAACUCGCCUCUAGGCUUUCUGGUCUAUUAUGUGGCGAGGAGUAUAAAAUUAGACUUGGUAACAAGUUUUGAUGAAACUUGCCAGGAGCCUUCGGGCUCACGGCCAGCCGACCCUGGUUGGGGAAUAUUCGGGAAAGACACUGACAGUUGCCAGGACCACUUGGCCAAGGAGCUUCCCUUCAGAGUUCUGGCUGCCUCAGCACCGGGCAGCUGAAGCAAAGAAUCAACAUUAAGGAGCUGAAGUGCUGCCCCCAUAGAUAAGAUUUCAAUAUGACUGGAGAAACCAAGUUUAUUCCCAGAAUUACUAGAGACAACGCUACCAUUCCCUGAGGACAGGCCAUCUGCUUGACCCUGUGGACUUUAAAGUGACCUGCCACCUCUGCCCUUCUCCUCGGGUACUCACAGCACCAUCUGCUUGUUAGAACAGCUACAGGGAGCAAGCAAACAGGCGGAGUGUAGCUGAGCCUACAAAGGGGAGUCAGCCCUCAGCUAAUGACCUCUGAUCUCCCCAGGAAGAAGGUGCCCUCACUUUCCACACGACCUGGGAGCACGCAGGAGGGCAAGACAUAGCUCCACCCACCAGGAGGCCUGAACAAGCCUCUAAACCAGCCUCACCCACCAGAGGGCAGACACAAGAAAACUGUCAUCUCGCAGCCUGUGGAACUGAGUUUGCAAACAGGUGGAUUCUUUACAAGUGAGCCACCAGAGAAGCCAAGCCUUGCUACCCUUGGAAUUUAAUACCACAGUUUGUCUAGGGUACAACUGACUCUUGGCAUACUUACGUGAUAAAGUCUUCCUCUAGCACAGGAGUAUAU